GAUUCUAUUUUCCUUUGCUCUGGUCAGGGUGAAGUACGUCCUUGUCGGUCUUACAUGUUGGAAAGAUGAGUUUGCCCGGGGCAUUGCUACAAACGUGAUUGUGGCAGGAAUCCACUCCCUUAGACAGUCCUUCAGCUGCUGGCCCAUCCAGUCAGAAACGGGAGAGAGAGCGGCUGGCAAAAGAAUGUAGAAGUACAAAAGCCAGUGUCAACAAAGAAGUCGAGAAACCUGCAGAAGUUGGUUUGAAGUAAUUGGGAUUCUCUCUUUGAUAACAAGACAGUGGAAAUAAAAGGGCCCCAAUGGAAAUCGAACGUCACAGGAGCUCUGCUUUGGUCAUGUCUGCUUCCUGUAGAUCCUCUUAUCUCAGCUCAGGACAUUACAUCAGCUCUCCUCUGCAACUAACAAUCAGUUUCUACAACUAGGUUUCUGUACUUGUUUGAAU